AGAGUUUGAUCCUGGCUCAGAUUGAACGCUGGCGGCAGGCCUAACACAUGCAAGUCGAGCGGUAGAGAGAAGCUUGCUUCUCUUGAGAGCGGCGGACGGGUGAGUAAUGCCUAGGAAUCUGCCUGGUAGUGGGGGAUAACGUUCGGAAACGGACGCUAAUACCGCAUACGUCCUACGGGAGAAAGCAGGGGACCUUCGGGCCUUGCGCUAUCAGAUGAGCCUAGGUCGGAUUAGCUAGUUGGUGAGGUAAUGGCUCACCAAGGCGACGAUCCGUAACUGGUCUGAGAGGAUGAUCAGUCACACUGGAACUGAGACACGGUCCAGACUCCUACGGGAGGCAGCAGUGGGGAAUAUUGGACAAUGGGCGAAAGCCUGAUCCAGCCAUGCCGCGUGUGUGAAGAAGGUCUUCGGAUUGUAAAGCACUUUAAGUUGGGAGGAAGGGUUGUGGAUUAAUACUCUGCAAUUUUGACGUUACCGACAGAAUAAGCACCGGCUAACUCUGUGCCAGCAGCCGCGGUAAUACAGAGGGUGCAAGCGUUAAUCGGAAUUACUGGGCGUAAAGCGCGCGUAGGUGGUUUGUUAAGUUGGAUGUGAAAUCCCCGGGCUCAACCUGGGAACUGCAUUCAAAACUGACUGACUAGAGUAUGGUAGAGGGUGGUGGAAUUUCCUGUGUAGCGGUGAAAUGCGUAGAUAUAGGAAGGAACACCAGUGGCGAAGGCGACCACCUGGACUAAUACUGACACUGAGGUGCGAAAGCGUGGGGAGCAAACAGGAUUAGAUACCCUGGUAGUCC
rnacentral:rRNA from 1 species